GUUGGGGAUAUAGCUCAGUUGGUAGAGUGCUUGCCUCACAUGCACAAGGUCCUGGGUUCAAUAUCCCCCCCAACA
rnacentral:tRNA from 1 species